rnacentral:rRNA from 1 species
GACGAACGCUGGCGGCGUGCUUAACACAUGCAAGUCGAACGGAAAGGCCCUGCUUUUGUGGGGUGCUCGAGUGGCGAACGGGUGAGUAACACGUGAGUAACCUGCCCUUGACUUUGGGAUAACUUCAGGAAACUGGGGCUAAUAUCGGAUAGGAGCUCCUGCUGCAUGGUGGGGGUUGGAAAGUUUCGGCGGUUGGGGAUGGACUCGCGGCUUAUCAGCUUGUUGGUGGGGUAGUGGCUUACCAAGGCUUUGACGGGUAGCCGGCCUGAGAGGGUGACCGGCCACAUUGGGACUGAGAUACGGCCCAGACUCCUACGGGAGGCAGCAGUGGGGAAUAUUGCACAAUGGGCGGAAGUCUGAUGCAGCAACGCCGCGUGCGGGAUGACGGCCUUCGGGUUGUAAACCGCUUUCGCCUGUGACGAAGCGUGAGUGACGGUAAUGGGUAAAGAAGCACCGGCUAACUACGUG